rfam:Hordeum vulgare subsp. vulgare, WGS project CAJW01000000 data, contig: morex_contig_39654
AUAGUAUUUCCUCCGUCCGGAAUUACUUGUCGCAUAAAUGGAUAAAAAUGAUGUAUCUAAAACUAAAACACAUCCAGAUACAUCCAUUCUAAUGACAAGUAUUUUCGGACGGAGGAAGUACCAA